rnacentral:lncRNA from 1 species
AGGAGUGGCAUUGCUGGAUCAAAUGGCAGUUCUAUGUUUAGUUUUCUGAGGAAUCUCCAUACUGCUUUCCACAGUGGUUGCACCAAUUUACAAUCCCACCCUCAGUGUACUAGGGUUCCUUUUCCUCCACACCCUCUCCAGCACUUAUUGUUUGUAGACUUUUGGAUGAUGGCCAUUCUGGCUGGUGUAAGGUGGUACCUCACAUGGUUUUGAUUUGCAUUUCUCUAAUAAUGAGUGAUGUUGAACAUCUUUUCAUGUGUUUCUUGGCCAUCUGUAUGUCUUCUUUGGAGAACUGUCUGUUUAGAUCUUCUGCCCAUUUUUUGAUGGGGUUGUUUGUUUUUUUGGUAUGGAGCUACAGAAGGUGUUUGUAAAUUUUGGAGAUCAAUCCCUUGUCAGUGAAUUUGAAGUUUGUCACUUUUGUUGUUAUUUUAGUCGUCAGAGUUUUACUCUUCCCUGCUUUCUGUAUUUAUUCCAAGCAUAAACAAACCAGUACUGCAUACUUUAAAUAAAUUAGUAAAAUAAUCUCUGUUUUGAGGCCUCUGUGGUUGUAGGUAAAAGGAAUAAGCUAGGAGGGUCAGAAAGGAACAGAUACCCAAAUAGCUAAAAUAUGACUCAUUUUUAUUCAAAGCAUUUUAUCACAUUGCAGAAUAAAAGUUUAAAGAAAAUAAUCAACACAAAGUCAGAGGUCCCCCCCCUUUUUUUUUUGCUUUUUUAGGGCCUCACCUGAGGCGUAUGGAGGUUCCCAGACUAGGGAUUGAAUUGGAGCUACCUGUCUAUUCCACAUCUACAGCAACAACAGAUCCAAGCCGCAUCUACUAACUAUACCACAGCUCAUGGCAAUGUCAUAUCCUUUACCACCUGAGCAAGGGAUCAAACCACAACCUCAUGGUUCUCAGAUGGAUUUGUGUUCCAGUGUGCCACGGCAGGAACUCCAAAGUCAGAGCUUUUUUAUAAUUAUUAGCAGUUUAACAUUUUGUAAUAACUUAUCACAUAGUUGUUACUAUUUGUGUCAAUAUUGAAAAUACAAGGGAAUAAAUAAUUUCCUCAAUGUUGUGUAUAUGGUAAUUACUGAGACCAGGAUUAAAACCCACAUCUGACAUGCAAAAGCCUGUGUACCCAUCAAAGUUUACAUUCAAAUGGAGGCUGGUGGCAAAAUGAGGAAAAAGUCUUACUGAGGAUAUAUUACUCAGAAAUAUUAAGAGCAGAUAAGAUCUACUGAAACAUCAAGCAGAUAAAACCUACUGAAACAAUUCAUAUUAAAGAUUACUUAAGGACUUGGUAGGGAAUUAAAAGAGACAAAUGAGUAUUAGAAUUAUAUGGAGAUCAAGUCUAGAAAACUUAGAUAUAUGCGGAGUUAGGAAGAACUCAAUUGGUGACUGGAAAUGCUGACAUCAAAAGGUAAAUGUUUUGAACAAGGGGAGGAUUAACAAAGAGGCAGAAGAGGGAGGUGAUUAGGUAUG